GCGAACGUUGGCGGCAGGCCUAACACAUGCAAGUCGAGCGGCCGUAGCAAUACGGCAGCGGCAGACGGGAUAGUAACACGUGGGAACGUGCCCUUUGGUUCGGAAUAACUCGGCGAAAGCCGUGCUAAUACCGGAUAAGCCCUUACGGGGAAAGAUUUAUCGCCAUUGGAGCGGCCCGCGUCUGAUUAGCUAGUUGGUGAGGUAAUGGCUCACCAAGGCGACGAUCAGUAGCUGGUCUGAGAGGAUGACCAGCCACAUUGGGACUGAGACACGGCCCAAACUCCUACGGGAGGCAGCAGUGGGGAAUCUUGCGCAAUGGGCGAAAGCCUGACGCAGCCAUGCCGCGUGGAUGAUGAAGGUCUUAGGAUUGUAAAAUCCUUUCAGCGGGGACGAUAAUGACGGUACCCGCAGAAGAAGCCCCGGCUAACUUCGU
rnacentral:rRNA from 1 species